GACUAGCUUUUAAUUAUUUAGCAGGUAAAGACUUGAAUAAAUCCAUCAACUUGGUUGAAAACAAAGUACUGAGAGACAUCUAAUUUGCUAAAGAAUUUAUUGAAUCAUAAUUCAACCACUUUCUCAAAAUCAACAGUAAUCGCUCCCCUUUUGAGUCCUGCCCUGGAGGGUUUGCCGUUCUGCGGAAGAACCAACAGGGAAGGAAGAAGAUGGCGAAGAGGAAUAGCUUUCUUCUGGAAAGCAGGAGAAGAAUCAUUGUGAAAAGGAGAUUGAGAAAGAGACUUUGCAGGGAGAUAAGAAGCAGAGACUCAGCAGUGCAAUCAAACAGCUCCAUAAGGCAAAAAAGACACAAUAUGCACGGGAACCUAACCAGUGCUGGCCAGAAUCUCAGCAGAAGUUUCCUGAAUGAUCAAGAUGUAUCCUGACACCAUGGAAGAAAGAAAAACGAUGUGUUCUAAAAGCAGGGUUCAAAUGAACAUCCGACUCCCUCAGGCUGGAGCGGCAAUUCUAAUUAGAGAUAGUGAAGCUUCCCAAAGUCAAUCGGGUAAAGAGAAUCUCUCCUUGGUUUCAUUAAAGUCAUAAAGUGUGAAGCAUGGUGAGUAAGCAGUUGGCAGCUUCAUCAUUUGUGAUUUUGGGUGGUAUUACUCUCUAACUGUUCCUUCACCAGAACAGUCCACGUUUCAGUGCAGAAUAUUUUCUACACUUGUUCACAGCAGAACCACAGGAAAGGGGGAACUACUACGGCACAACAGCAGGAGUCUCCACAAGUUCCCGCAGUUAAC